UCAGAUUUCUUAGGGCUUGUUUUAUGGACCCAGGAUAUGAUCUGUCUUGGUGAAUAUUCCACACACACGUGAGGAGAUGUGCGUUCAGCUGUUGAGUGUGUGGAGUGUUACAUAGAUAUCCAUUAGAUCUAGUUGGUUGAUGGUGUUCAGUUUUUCUAUAUUUUUGCUGGUUUUCUGUUUACGAGGUCUGCUGAUUACUGAGAGAGGAGUAUUGAAGGUUUCAACAAAAAUUAUGGCUUUUUCUGUUUCCCUUCCAGAUCUCACUACUUGUCCAAUCCACUCUGAUGUUGCAGUGUUAGGUACAUACAUAGUUGGAACUGAAACCAGAUGGAUCCUGAAGAGCAACCAGAUCACUGGAAGCUUAAACAGGCAGCGACAGCUGCUUUGUCAGACAUGGUAUCUGUGCCUGGAAUAGAAGACCAGUACCGAUAAGGCUUUGUGGACUCCAGAGGCACCACAUUCAUCAUCCAGCAAUACUGUGGAACACUUCCACAGGGAAGGCUGCCAUCUUUGAGUGAGGCCUGCAGUGGGAACGGACUUCACUUCAGAGUGUUCUGCAAACACUUGCCACUUCUGUCCUGUGAUCUACAGGCCCUGAGGGAGAUCUUCUCAAUGUCAUCAAUGACUUUACCCCAGCCCUUGCCCUUCUUUGAGCAUGA